rnacentral:rRNA from 1 species
GCACGGGUGAGUAACACGUGAAUAAUCUACCUCCGAGUGGGGAAUAACUGAGAGAAAUCUUAGCUAAUACCGCAUAACACUUACGAGUCAAAGCAGCAAUGCGCUUGGAGAGGAGUUCGCGGCAGAUUAGUUAGUUGGCGGGGUAAUGGCCCACCAAGACGAUGAUCUGUAUCCGGCCUGAGAGGGCGCACGGACACACUGGAACUGAAACACGGUCCAGACUCCUACGGGAGGCAGCAGUGGGGAAUUUUGCGCAAUGGGGGAAACCCUGACGCAGCAACGCCGCGUGGAGGAUGAAAUCCCUUGGGAUGUAAACUCCUUUCGAUAGGGAAGAUAAUGACGGUACCUAUAGAAGAAGCCCCGGUAACUUCGUGCCAGCAGCCGCGGUAAUACGAGGGGGGCAAGCGUUGUUCGGAAUUACUGGGCGUAAAGCGCGCGUAGACGGUUUUGUAAGUCAGAUGUGAAAUCCCUGGGCUCAACCUGGGAACUGCAUUUGAGACUGCAUGGCUAGAGUAUCGAAGAGGGAAGUGGAAUUUCCGGUGUAGCGGUGAAAUGCGUAGAUAUCGGAAGGAACACCAGU